UGCAGUGCGCAGCUAUACAUGCAGUCGAGCGGUCCCUUCGGGGGCAGCGGCGGACGGGUGAGUAACGCGUGGGAACGUGCCCUUUGGUACGGAACAACUGAGGGAAACUUCAGCUAAUACCGUAUGUGCCCUUCGGGGGAAAGAUUUAUCGCCAUUGGAGCGGCCCGCGUUGGAUUAGGUAGUUGGUGAGGUAAAGGCUCACCAAGCCGACGAUCCAUAGCUGGUCUGAGAGGAUGAUCAGCCACACUGGGACUGAGACACGGCCCAGACUCCUACGGGAGGCAGCAGUAGGGAAUCUUGCGCAAUGGGCGAAAGCCUGACGCAGCCAUGCCGCGUGAAUGACGAAGGUCUUAGGAUUGUAAAAUUCUUUCACCGGGGACGAUAAUGACGGUACCCGGAGAAGAAGCCCCGGCUAACUUCGUGCCAGCAGCUGCGGUAAUACGAAGGGGGCUAGCGUUGCUCGGAAUUACUGGGCGUAAAGGGAGCGUAGGCGGAUAGUUUAGUCAGAGGUGAAAGCCCAGGGCUCAACCUUGGAAUUGCCUCUGAUACUGGCUAUCUUGAGUAUGGAAGAGGUAUGUGGAACUCCGAGUGUAGAGGUGGAAUUCGUAGAUAUUCGGAAGAACACCAGUGGCGAAAGCGACAUACUGGUCCAUUACUGACGCUGAGGCUCGAACGCGUGCGGAGCAAACACGAUUAGAUACCCUGGUAGUCCACGCCGUAGACGAUGAGUGCUAGUUGUCGGCAUGCAUGCAUGUCGGUGACGCACCUAACGCAUUAAGCACUCCGCAUGGGGAGUACGGUCGCAAGAUUAAAACUCAUAGGAAUUGACGGGGG
rnacentral:rRNA from 1 species